rnacentral:rRNA from 1 species
GACGAACGCUGGCGGCGUGCUUAACACAUGCAAGUCGAGCGGUAAGGCCCUUUCGGGGGUACACGAGCGGCGAACGGGUGAGUAACACGUGGGUGACCUGCCCUCAGCUCUGGGAUAAGCCUGGGAAACCGGGUCUAAUACCGGAUAUGACUCCAUGACGCAUGUUGUGGGGUGGAAAGCCUUGUGCGGCUGAGGAUGGGGCCCGCGGCCUAUCAGCUUGUUGGUGGGGUNAUGGCCUACCAAGGCGACGACGGGUAGCCGGCCUGAGAGGGCGACCGGCCACACUGGGACUGAGACACGGCCCAGACUCCUACGGGAGCAGCGAGUGGGGAAUCUUGCGCAAUGGGCGAAAGCCUGACGCAGCGACGCCGCGUGA